rnacentral:rRNA from 1 species
GAUGAACGCUGGCGGCGUGCCUAAUACAUGCAAGUCGAGCGAACGGACGAGAAGCUUGCUUCUCUGAUGUUAGCGGCGGACGGGUGAGUAACACGUGGAUAACCUACCUAUAAGACUGGGAUAACUUCGGGAAACCGGAGCUAAUACCGGAUAAUAUUUUUAACCGCAUGGUUCAAAAUUGAAAGACGGUCUUGCUGUCACUUAUAGAUGGAUCCGCGCUGCAUUAGCUAGUUGGUAAGGUAACGGCUUACCAAGGCAACGAUGCAUAGCCGACCUGAGAGGGUGAUCCGCCACACUGGAACUGAGACACGGUCCAGAGUCCUACGGGAGGAAGCAGUAGGGAAUCUUACGCAAUGGGCGCAAGCCUGACGGAGCAACGCCGCGUGAGUGAUGAAGGUCUUCGGAUCGUAAAACUCUGUUAUUAGGGAAGAACAUAUGUGUAAGUAACUGUGCACAUCUUGACGGUACCUAAUCAGAAAGCCACGGCUAACUACGUG